rnacentral:rRNA from 1 species
UACGUAGGUGGCAAGCGUUGUCCGGAUUUACUGGGCGUAAAGAGCGCGCAGGCGGUCGUUCAAGUCGCGUGUGAAAGCCCCCGGCUCAACUGGGGAGGGUCACGCGAUACUGAUCGACUGGAAGGCAGGAGAGGGUAGUGGAAUUCCCGGUGUAGCGGUGAAAUGCGCAGAUAUCGGGAGGAACACCGGUGGCGAAGGCGGCUCUCUGGGCCUGUCCUGACGCUCAGGCGCGAAAGCUAGGGGAGCAAACAGG